CUCUGCCUCUCUUCUCUUCUCCCUUCCCCCCUUCCUCCUUUCCUUUUCCCCUCCAUAACCCACUAAAAAAAGUAUUCAACCUCACUCUGCAUGGCGUGAUAAUAGCCUCAGACAUCAUGGAAGGAGAUCUUGGAAUAAUUACCUUUUCCUUUGUCCUUAGUGGGUUUGGUAGAGAUCCAUUCUGAAAGACAGAAAGGAUAAAGUUAAUGAUGAGGGUCAGGAUCCUGAACCGGGUUCUUUUUCCAUUCCCACCACCAGCUUCCCGGCUUCAAUCAGGCUUCAAUUGAGACAGGUUGACUCCCAGCAGCAGCACUCUGUCCCUCCAAAGAAAACAGAAGACAAACAAGCACAGAACAACAUCCUUCUGCAGUUGACUUCGACUGCCGAGCUCUGACCAUUGGGCAAAACUGCCUUUCACUUAAACUAAAGACCUCCAGACAUGGACAGAAUCGCUGGAAUCGACAGCCUAGCUACUCAGGUCAAGGUAGGCCUGUCUUCCUACAGAUUUCUUAGCCCACAGGAUCUUCUGGAGCCUGGCAGGCCUGGCGCUAAACAUCAAAGGUCAAGUGCAACCUUCAACGACCAUGGAGGACUCAAAACAGAAUAGCUCUGGAUGCCAACCAAGAUUAGAGACACCAAACAUUUCCAUGCCACCGACACCUAUUGGGAGCAAAGAGACCAGCUAUGCCAGGAUGUGGCCAACACCCAGCCUUCUCAGGGUUCAUUCCCCCCCAAAGAUGAUGCCCACAAAUAAGCCGGAAGCAGUCUUGAGAAUUCGCUGCUCCAAUUCCGUCAAACUGUGGUGUCUAAUCUCCUGCUUUUAUUAUAAUAAAGAACUGGGAAUGUUAUGGUUUUUGUCUCUUUAAGGGGCAAGCCACCCCCACUCCCGGCAACCCCUCCCUGCUGUUGCCAUCUUAGAUCUCUCACUGUCCCCCUCUUGGGGUAUGCGUGUAUGGGGUAAAGUGUCGGUCUUACUCCCCACUUCCCUCCUUUCUGUCUCUCUCCUCUCCUUCCUCUUCUCCUCCUUCUCCCACACUCUCUCUCCUUUAAGUAAUAAAUAU